GAGUAAAACCCAAUACGAAAAGGAUACUGGAAUGUUCCUUUUUGCAAACGCAAGGCCGAAGGAUGAGUUGGCGGCUGAUUAGGCUGUUGGCGGUGUAACGGACCACCAAACCUACGAUCAGUACGGGCCGUGAGAGCGGUAGCCCGGAGAAGGAUACUGAGACACGGAUCCUAGCCCUACGGGGUGCAGCAGGCGCGAAAACUUUACCAUGCACGGAAGUGCGAUAAGGGAACUCCCAGUGCCCAUGUAAAGCAUGAGCUUUUGCCAAGUGUAAAUAGCUUGGCGAAUAAGUGGUGGGCAAGACGGGUGCCAGCCGCCGCGGUAACACCUGCGCCACGAGUGGGGAUCGCAUUUAUUGGGCCUAAAGCGUUCGUAGCCGGAUAAGACAGUCUUGAGUGAAAUCGUUGCGCUUAACAAAACGACGUGCUUGAGAUACUUCUUAUCUUGAGACCGGGAGGCGAUAGGGGUAUUCCGGAGGGAGCGGUAAAAUACGCUGCACGCAGUGUUCAGAAUUCUGCAUGCAGCAUUUACAGUGCUAUAAUCUCCCGGAGGACCACCUGUGGGCGAAGGCGUCUAUCGAGAACGGGUCUGACGGUGAGGAACGAAAGCUAGGGGGAGCAAUCCGGAUUAGAUACACAAGAGCACCUAAAUAAAAAGUGUGUCGGUGCCAUUUCACGGGAGUGAAUAUUGGCACUUUGAACGCACUACCAAGAUGGGGGUUCCAUCUUGUGCUAAAUACCCCAA
rnacentral:rRNA from 1 species